GGGCAAGGGAACGGAACGGAAGGGGAGGGAAGCGGGAGAGGCGCUGGGUUCCCCGGGGCAGGAAGCGGCGGCCGGGGGCUCCGGGAAGGGCCCGGGUGAGGGGCGCCUCCGGGUCCCGGCAGCCAUGCCCUUGUCUCCCUCCCGGGCACGGAGCCGGGGCCCGGCGGGGCGGCGAAGCGCGGCGAGGGACCGGGAGCGGGAGCGGCAGCACCGAGCCCAGCUCCAGCCGCAGUCGUUCUUCAGCUCCAGCUCUGUCACAUCUCAGCCGCAGCCCCACAGCAGUGAUUUCAGCUCCAACCCUGCCAUCCUGAUUUCAUCUCCCACCCUACAGUAGCUAUUGAACCCCAGGAUUUCCACUCCAGGCCUGUGCUGUUUCCCCUCCCACCCCCCCACUCUUCAUUUCACCCCCCCCAGCCUCACAGACUUUCUUACGGCUCCAGCUCUGCGUUGUUUCAGCUCCAGCCCUGCAGUGUUUAGCUCAGCCUCAGCUCUACAUCUUCCUGCUGCCUCCGUGUUCUCACAGCAGCUCUGGGGGCUGUUGAUAAGGUAGUAAGUCAAUCACUGUCAUCACUCAACUAUCAAAACUGUCCCACUGUGUCUGUCCCCUGAAUAAAGUGUUCCUGUUGUGUGUGUCCCCAUUUCAGAGGGGAGUUUGGCCUGGUGCAUGCUGGCAUCCCAUGUUUCAGGGGCAAAUAAAACCAGACCCCCACCUCUGCUUGUUUUCAGGCCCAGAAACACAGCACUCUGGGGACUUUUGGAGCAGCUGAACCCCAGGACUGAGCUGGGCUGUUCAGCCCCAACCACAGAACUUCAUCCUCCUUUGGGGGGCUGGAAACACCCUUGAGGCUGCUGCUGUGGCCCAUGUGUGAAGGGAAAGGGGGGCCACAGCCCAGGGAGUGCUUGGGAACUGCGGGCACCCACCCAGACAGGGAAAGCUUUAUUGCACUUUAUUCCACUUGAUUUUUCAAUUAUUGUUAUGCAUUACACUUCUUGUAAUAAACCAACACAA